rnacentral:lncRNA from 1 species
GUGCAUCAGCUAUCUAUCGACAUCAUAAUGCUGUGUAACAAACAACCGCACACUCUCAGCCUGUUUUGCUCUUGCAUCUGGGGUGGUCAGCCGGGGGCUCUGCUGGUCAUGGCUGGAGUCGCACACACGGCUGGGGCUUGGCUGGCUGCUGGCCGAUCUAGGCUGGCCUGGUCAGGAGGAGUCAGGCCUCUCAGUCUGGUCCACGAGCCCCUCAUCCGCCAGGCUAGUUUAUUCGUGUGCUUCUCACAGUGACAGUGGGGGCAGGAGGGAGUAAGCGCAGCCCCUUGAAGCAUUUCAAGCCUUCGUGGGGAUCACGGGUGCUGACGUCUCGCCGGCCAAAGCCUGCAGCGUGUGGUCCCGAGUCCGUGUGGGAGGGCGCUGCAGGGUCACGGGGUACCAUGUUCAGAAAACGCUGGGGAUCUUUGAUUCAGCGAUCCCGCCGCCAGCAACUUUGUAUCCUAAGGAAGUCACCGGGCAGUGGACAAAGACGUGUGCACAAGGAUCCUCCUCCGGCCAGAGGCUGCAACCCUCAAUGGACAUCAGUCAAAGGCCACGAGCCCGGGGCGGGAUGGACACUCAGGCCGACGGGAUGUGGACGGUCAAGGCCUACGCCACAGCCGCCCGCGUGCCCAGUGGAUGGGCCUGGGGGGAGGAAGAGGAAUCAGUGUGGUCCUCACCCUCGGGGGCUGACAGUGGAUGCGAACUGCCAGGAGCGGGAGGCUCUGAUCCCGUUUCCCGUUGUAUACACGGGAAACCGCCACCACCUUCCAGAUCGUGAACAUAUCGAUUCCACCCAGAAGCCUCCUCCUCAGGACCCUGUAUGAUCUGUCCCUCCCUCCAGCCUCCACUGCCGCCACCCUCCAACCCAGGCCACCGCCCCUCUGCUUCCUGUCACUGCAGAUUACGUUGCCUUUUCUAGAAUUCUCUAGGAAGGGAACAGUGCAGCCCGGAAUGUUUCGUGUCUGUCUUCUUUCGUGUAGCAUGGUACCCCUAGAUGUAUCUGAGUUUCCACAGGCAUCAACAGGGCCUUCCUUUUCAUUGCUACGUAGUAUUCCGUUGUCUGAAUGGACUGUCUGUGGAUCCAUUCACUGGCUGCUGGGUGGGGUUUAAAAGGCUUCCAGUUCUGUGCUGUUGCAGACAGAGCUGCCAAGGACGUCGGUGUCGCCUGUGUGUGAAUGCGUGCCUUCAGUUACCUUGGUGAGUAGCUAGGAGUUGAACAGCCAGACUAUCCGGUAGUGGGGUGUUUAAAUAUGUUUAAAACUGCAAAUCGUUUUCCUAUGAGGCUGUCCCCUUUAUGUUCCCAACAGCCGUGGGUGAGAGUUCCAGCAUCUCCUGUCCUCACAGACACCUGGUAGGAACCGUCUUUUCAAUUUUGACUUUCAAAUAGGUGUGCAGGGGUAUCUUAUCAUGAUAUGAAUUUGCAUUUUAUUUUCUUUUUUAUUGAGGAAGAUUAGCCCUGAGCUAACUACUGCCAAUCCUCCUCUUUUUGCUGAGGAAGAUUGGCCCUGAGCUAACAUCCACGCCAUCUUCCUCUACUUUUUAUGUGGGACGCCUACCACAGCAUGGCUUGUCAAUGGUGCCAUGGCCACACCUGGGAUCCAAACCGGCGAACCCCGGGCCGCCAAAGCGGACCAUGAGCACUUGACCUCUGCGCCGCCAGGCCAGCCCCUGAAUUUGCAUUUUCUUAAUGGCGAGCAUCUUUUCAUGUGUUUCUCAGCCAUCUGUAUAUCUUUUUUCCUCACAUAUCUAUUCAACCUUUUUUGCCCAUUUUUUUAACUAAACUUUUCAUUUUAAGAUAAUUGUAGCAUUAAUUUUGAGCAUGUGACCAUUUUCAUCAGGUUUCUAUUUUGUGUGUCUUAUUGAAUUUUGAGAGUUCUUUCUAUAUUCUGGAUAAAAGUACUUUAUCAGAUGUGUGUUGUGCAAACGUUUAAGCCCAGUCUGUGUGUACAGCAGUCCCCCCCAGCCGUGGUUUCACUAUCUGUGGCUUCAGUUACCCAAGGUCACCUGUGGUCUGAAAAUAUUAAAUAAAAAAUUCCAGAACUUCA